GCAUCAUAUUGACAAAAUAAAAAGUGGCUCAAGUCUUUUUGGCUUAUUUUAUGCUUUCGAUAUUUCAAAGUCAAACAAUAACCAGAGAGAGAUUUGAGAUCAAUCACAAUGCACCUAGAAAGGUUUGGAUUGCUGGGAAAUCACUGCCACAUGAAGAGCUAGCUUUCUAUGGAAGAGAGGUAUGAGCGCCUAUGACUCAUAAUGUAAUGUUUCAACCAGAUAAAAAGAUGGAGAUUCGCAAAGCCAUUGGAUGGGAUUCAAAGAAGAAUAUUAGAACUAGGAUCGUGGUUUGCCAUAUUAUGAUGUAUUUUCAAAAACUCAUAAUCAUCCCAUUAGGUUUUAUAUUUUAUGGAUGCAUGCAUGGUUUGGAUGUUAUGACAUGUAAGAUGUAAAACAUCAAUAACUAAAAGGUUAAACCUAAAAUCUCCCAAAAACAAAAUAAAUAUUGAAUUUGGGCC